AUAUAUAUAUAUAUAAAUUAAAGUAAACUGAGCAGAAAACUUAAAAUAGGACAUGGAUAGCUCAUAUAUAUAUUUAUAUAUGUACACAUAUAGUAUAUUUCUGCGUACUCUACCUUUAAAGAGGCCAGUUGAGGGAGGAGGUCGCAGAGGGACAGGCUUUAUUUGGCUCAGGGUCAUGGAUUCCGAGUGGUUGUCGUUGUCGUUGUUGUGUUAGCGUCGCCCUCGUUCCCCUCACUGUACCAGGCUCGAUUCUUGAAACCUGCUGUUUUCUGAGACCAAAGUUCACUUUGCUGGAAAAAAGGGGGAGAGAGGGGGUGGGGGGGGGGGUGUUGGCGAAGUUUGAGAAUCAUUUCUUUGGGGGGAGGGGGAGUUGAAAGGUUACAUGUUUGCUGUACUAUGAUGUUUUGGAAUCGUUCUUCCGACCAUCAGUCUGAGAUGCCCGUACCAACACAUCUGCUGUUGUCACAACAACAACUCCGAGGCAAGAAGAAGAAAAAAAAAACUGCUGCAAACUCUGCUUUCUUUGGCUCUGGAAGCAACUGUGUAAAACGAUUGGGUGUUUUUUGUUUUUUGUGUGUGUUUUUGAUGGGGGUGGGUGGUGGAAGGGUCAUGUAGGAGGGUUCAUUUCAAAUGUCCUUUGUCUUCCAAGGGGUUUUGCACUAUGAAAUACAAUCGGUCUUGUUUCCUCCGUGUGGAUAAUUCUUUAUAUGCAUGAAUGAAAACACAGCCUCGACUGUGUUCUCUGAUGUUCCCUAUGCAGCCUGUUUGUCAGAGCGCUCCGUCUGUGCACAGCUUCGCUCAGGAAUAUGUGGGUGAACCAUGGUUCUGUCAUGAGGUGUGUAGUCACGUCUGACCCACAUUUACACCUGGUUCUUUGAGUAACUAUACAGUUUCAACGUGUGGUAUUUUUCAUCUCAGGUCACAGCCUUUAAAUUCAUCUACACUCCUGAUGUCAAUCCAUCAGUCACCCACAGAUUCCUCAUCACUAACGGUCUGGGGGGGGGGGGGGGGGGGGGGUACAUCCUAUUCCCUGUCCUGUUACAGCACUAGUGUAAUGAAAUAUUUUUCUGUUUUUUUUUUGUUAUCUUAUUAUUUCUGUUUGUGUGAAAGUCAUGAUGUUUACUUUUUUAUUACUUCUUCUGUACUUGUACUCACUGACGUCCAUUCUUCUGCUUUGUUAUGAGCUCGUAGCAUCAGCUGUAGUUUUGUUUCAUGUCAAGCUGAAAACGGUAUCGAGACAUUUGGGAGUUUUUGAAGACUUUUGCCUUUUUAUGCAAUUAUCUUACUGUUCUUGAUGUUCAUUUUGUUUUAGAAUUUUGUUUUCAAAGAAAUCUGCUCUCUCUGAUUUAAUUAAAUUAAAUGUGGAUUGAAUCAAGCCCUGUUUAAUGGCACCAGAAAUGUGUUUUUAUAAGCGUGUUUUCAACCAAAAGCUCAUUGAAUUUUCCAGUGUGUUCUGCCUUUCCGACCCUCAACGGUUUUAUUACAAUUAUUGUAACCAAGAAAAUGGUGUUGUUCAUGCUUUUUUCCUCUUCUGUCCCCAUGACUCUUUAGGAAGCUUUACAUCAACCUAAGAACAUGUUUUGUACAUUGAUUGUGUGUUUGCAGCAUUUUACAAGAAGUUCUGAUGUAAAGAAAUGUUGCUUUUGCUGAGAACUUCAAUUAAAACCAAAAUUGAAAAGGCAAUGUUACAUUGAAAAUCUAAGCUCUGUAAUAAACUUUUAAACAAA